UUACAUAAGAUAAAAACUACUUAUAUAUUGUCGUAAUAUGGUCGACAGUCUCUACCUGAUGCCGUGAACAUCGGACUAUAAGUAAAAAAGGAUCGCCU
rnacentral:ncRNA from 2 species